AAGAAACAGAAACAGAAACAGAAG
rnacentral:sRNA from 1 species